UACGGAGGGGGCUAGCGUUGUUCGGAAUUACUGGGCGUAAAGCGUACGUAGGCGGCUUUGCAAGUUAGAGGUGAAAGCCCGGGGCUCAACCCCGGAAUUGCCUUUAAGACUGCAUCGCUUGAAUCGCGGAGAGGUGAGUGGAAUUCCGAGUGUAGAGGUGAAAUUCGUAGAUAUUCGGAAGAACACCAGUGGCGAAGGCGGCUCACUGGACGGGUAUUGACGCUGAGGUACGAAAGCGUGGGGAGCAAACAGG
rnacentral:rRNA from 1 species